rnacentral:rRNA from 1 species
UAAGGAAUAUUGGUCAAUGGACGCAAGUCUGAACCAGCCAUGCCGCGUGAAGGAUGAAGGUCCUCUGGAUUGUAAACUUCUUUUAUCUGGGACGAAAACGGGAUUUUUAUCUCAAUUGACGGUACCAGAGGAAUAAGCACCGGCUAACUCCGUGCCAGCAGCCGCGGUAAUACGGAGGGUGCGAGCGUUAUCCGGAUUUACUGGGUUUAAAGGGUGCGUAGGUGGGCUUAUAAGUGAGUGGUGAAAUCUCCGAGCUUAACUUGGAAACUGCCGUUGAUACUAUAGGUCUUGAAUUAUCUGGAGGUGAGCGGAAUAUGUCAUGUAGCGGUGAAAUGCUUAGAUAUGACAUAGAACACCAAUUGCGAAGGCAGCUUACUACAUAUAAAUUGACGCUGAGGCACGAAAGCGUGGGGAUCAAACA